AAUUUCUAAGCUUACAUCUUCCAUUCAAAAGCAAUUCAAAAGUUUGUACAUACAUUAACCUACAACUGUGACUACAACUGCAUUUAAAUAUAAAUAUUAUAUAUACAGAAACUGGUGCUGGCAGGUAGUUUUGAAAGAAAUUUCAAAUGGGGAAGAAAGAGAUUGUACAAGCUGUCGUUCUCGCGGACGACUUCGUCUCGAGUUUAACGCCGAUGCAUGACGUUCUCCCGAUGGUGUUAAUGCCUGUGAUGAACGUACCGCUUUUAGAUUAUUUAGUGGAAACGCUGAUCAAAUCGAGAGUACAGGAACUGUUUCUUUACUGUAGUAACCAUGUAGAUUUGAUAAAAGCAUACGUGAAGGAGAACAAGUGGUCGAAAAUAUCAGUUUCUUUGAUCGUAUCGGAUGCUUGCACAUCCCUCGGUGACGCUCUCAGAGACAUCGAUACGAAAGGUUCUAUUCGCGGUAAUUUCAUUCUCAUAAGAGGAGACGCGUUUAUCAAUGCGAAUCUUGUACAUCUUUUAAACGAUCAUUGCUCGAGACUCGAAAAAGACAAAGGGGCGACGAUGACCAUGGUGUUGAGAAACGUCGGUUCGACAGCCGUGUCUUCUCUGAGGCGAGAGACGUGUCUUGUCGUCUCCGACAAGAGUAGCAAGAAGAUUUUACACUACAGCAAGCUGAGGAACGACGAGAAGAAGGUAAAGUUGGAACUGAGCUGGUUCUUAGACCACAACGAGAUCGAGAUCGACACCUGCUUUCUGGAUACUCACGUCUACUUAUGUUCACCUUCCGUGCUUCCACUGUUCUCUGACAAUUUUGAUUUUCAAACAAUGGAAGAUUUCAUUAGAGGGGUGCUGAUGAACGAAGAGAUCUUGAACUCUCGCGUAUACUGGCAACAACUGAAUCCUGAGGAUCACAGCCUGCCGAUCGUAUCUUGGAACAUGUAUCACACUCUGAACAGAGACAUCUUGAACAGACACAGCUUUCCGCUGACACCGAACGGGGUCCCGUUUUUAAACGAUUUUAUACAGAUGCCUAGAACCACUUAUAAACACAGAACCGCUACCCUCGCUAAGGGUUGUAGAUUAGAGAAGGACAGCGUGUUGUCGAGAAACAGUACGGUCGGAAACGACACUUGCAUCGCAAGAUCCGUGAUCGGUGAUCAUUGUUCGGUAGGCUCGAACGUGACGAUUAAAAAUGCGUACGUUCUGCCGAACAAUACGAUCGAAGAUAAUUGCACGAUCACGAACAGCGUGAUAUUUUCCAACUGUUCGAUGAGAUCGGGAGUACGCUUGAGCGGGUGUAUACUCUGUCCCGGAACAAUCGUCGAUACCUCGGCCGAGUACGCGGAUUCUAUAUUAGAAUCGCGAAACAAUCAAAUGUUCGUCAGGAGAAUGUCUGAGGUCGACGCGGAGGAAUUUCAGUUCUUUAAAAACGUCGACACCGCGGAAAGUGACGACGACUCGACCACAGACGUGACAAGCAUAGACGAUGGUUCCGAAUGCAAUUCGCCGGUUCCGGACGACACGAACAUGUUUCUGUCCGAAGUGAUUGACAGUUUACUGAGAGGUUUCCAGGACAAAUUGAACUGCGACAACCUGAUUUUAGAGAUCAACUCGUCGAGAUACGCGUACAACGUGACCAUGAGCGAAGUGACGUACAACGUUAUCAAAGCUGUACUCAGCCUACCUUUCCAUUAUCUGUCCGAGAAGAAAGAAGCCGUUACCGAUCAGAAUUAUCAAAGAAAUUUAAAGAUCAUGAUCACUUAUUUUUAUUCGAUCAUCUUGAAUUACGUCAAGACGGAGGAUGCACAGGACGAUUGCUUGCGGGCGAUAGAAGAGGUUGCGAGCACGACUCAACAGUUGUUACCGUUUCUACAGCAUCUGCUGCACUUAUUCUACGAGAAGGACGUGCUGACGGAAGAGAAGAUUUUCGAGUGGUACGAAUCCGAGGAUAGAGAUACGGACGACUUCGAGGCGAGAAACAAGGUGCGAGCCGCGGUUCAACCGUUCAUCAAGUGGUUGGAGGAAGCGGAAGAAGACUCGAGCGGAAGCGAUAACGAUUGAUGGUAGACCGGAAGAAGAUUCGUAGCUCGGUGAACUGUGACCAUCAAUGCUCGCCGUCUUGUACAGUAACUCAGACUCACUUGGAUCUGUCCACGUUCGCCGGAGAAGAGACCCCAAGCCGUCUCCUCGUUGUCCACCUGUGCCAACGUCGAACUCCAUUAUAUCUUAGUGUCUGGAGGGAACACGAUAUCCAACGCUUCGGCUCUCCGGAUCACCUGUGGUCACCGCGCAGAAGAUCAACUCGUGUUUGCUCCGACAUGUUAAAGCAGAGAUUAUAUUUGACCGAGGUCGAGUUCCACGAUGUAACGAGUUUCGUUUAGAAAUUCAUCUGACAGACGACGUGUGAAAGCGCGAAGAAUUACCUGUA